ACCUGGCUGGCUCAGUUGGAAGAGCAUGUGACUCUUGAUCACAAGCUUGUGAAUUCAAGCCCCAUGUUGGAUA
rnacentral:tRNA from 1 species